rnacentral:tRNA from 1 species
GUAAACAUAGUUUAAAGAAAACAUCAGAUUGUGAUUCUGAAGAUAGGGGUUAAACACCCCUAGUUCACC